rnacentral:rRNA from 1 species
UGCAACCUACCUUUUAUUGGGGGAUAGCCCGGAGAAAUCCGGAUUAAUACCGCAUGAUACUAUUUGAGGGCAUCUGAGGAUAGUUAAAGCUGAGGCGAUAAAAGAUGGGCAUGCGUGCCAUUAGCUAGUUGGUGAGGGUAACGGCCCACCAAGGCGACGAUGGCUAGGGGUUCUGAGAGGAUGAUCC